rnacentral:rRNA from 1 species
GAUGAACGCUGGCGGCGUGCCUAAUACAUGCAAGUCGAGCGAACGGACGAGAAGCUUGCUUCUCUGAUGUUAGCGGCGGACGGGUGAGUAACACGUGGAUAACCUACCUAUAAGACUGGGAUAACUUCGGGAAACCGGAGCUAAUACCGGAUAAUAUUUUGAACCGCAUGGUUCAAAAGUGAAAGACGGUCUUGCUGUCACUUAUAGAUGGAUCCGCGCUGCAUUAGCUAGUUGGUAAGGUAACGGCUUACCAAGGCAACGAUGCAUAGCCGACCUGAGAGAGUGAUCGGCCACACUGGAGCUGAGACACGGUCCAGACUCCUACGGGAGGCAGCAGUAGGGAAUCUUCCGCAAUGGGCGAAAGCCUGACGGAGCAGCGCCGCGUGAGUGAUGAAGAUCUUCGGAUCGUAAAACUCUGUUAUUAGGUAAGAACAUAUGUGUAAGUAACUGUGCACAUCUUGACGGUACCUAAUCAGAAAGCCACGGCUAACUACGUG